rnacentral:rRNA from 1 species
CAAUAGUGUAUAUUAAAGUUGUUGCAGUUAAAAGCUCGUAGUUGGAUUUCAAGAAACGCAUCUGGGUCACCAGUAUGCUUUCUACCAGUCUUUGACUGUUACUGUGAGAAAAUUAGAGUGUUUCAAGCAGGCAAUUGCAGGAAUACAUUAGCAUGAAUAACGAAUGGGUCUACAAUUUGGUUGAUUGUAGAUUGCGAUUAAUAGGGACAGUUGGGCAGGUUAGUAUUUAAUUGUCAGAGGUGAAAUUCUUGGAUUAGUUAAAGACUAACGUAUGCGAAAGCAUUUGCCAAGGAUGUUUUCAUUAAUCAAGAACGAAAGAUUGGGAUGCAAAGAUAGAUCAGAUACC